rnacentral:ncRNA from 1 species
GGUUUUCAGGGCAGGGUGUGAUUCCCGACCGGCGGUAAAGUCCGCGACCCAGCGCAAGCUGGUUGAAUUGGUGAGAUUCCAAUACCGACAGUUAAAGUCUGGAUGGAAGAAAACA